rnacentral:lncRNA from 1 species
CGCGGCGGGCGGGGGGCGGGGGGCGGCAGACACAGGGUCAGCUCCCGGGAGGCUUUGAUGAAUGCGCUGAAAGCGCAAGUUCACAUCUGCAGAGUCGAAAACGUGCUCAAUGAUCGACAGACGCGCUGCAGUCCUUUCCCAUGAACCCCCGCAAACGGAGUCCAUCUCCAGGGUUGGGCGAAAUCAGAUUCCAACACUGCCCUGAACAGCAAAAUGCCCGCCGCAGCCUUUGACGUGAACGCCCUCGAGGAGGGCUCCAGCUGCAGCCAGCUUUCCAGGACAAAGAGAGAGCUCCGCUGCUCGCCAGAGUGGCAGAGCGGCGGCGUCGAGCCAGCCCCUGCCCUCCCUCGGCAAGGGGAAAAGAGCAAACCGGAGAUUUCUGGAGUUAACCAGCUACAGUUCUACAGUGUCAAGGACACAAGAGGACCCCUAGGAACCCCAGUGAGUGAAUGGCUAAGAACAUGCGCUUUGGAGCCACCCAGGGAGGAGAUACUGGCUGGACCCCAGAAGGUUGUGCUGAGGAUUUAUUGCUACGGGGGAAAGUGGGGGACCUGAGACACAUGGCACAGAGAGGCAUUCUUGCCAGUCUUGUAACACCUAAAGAAAUCCUGGCUACUGCGACGUUGAACGGUUGCUGUGUACUCCAGGCUGCAGGGAGUGAGCACAGGAGAAGACACAGGAAUAAGAACCAACAGAAAAGGAUGAUGUUUACCAUGCGCCAAAAGACACCCACUCAAAAAAAUAAAAAGCCAUUAAUCAAAAUACUGCAAGUGUCUGAGGUCAGUUAUUCUAUCAGAUAACUCUCCCUAUUAAAAUGACUCAUCUGGGAUCUGGUUUGGUUAGAUGAGGGUGAGUCUGAAAGGGGUGAUGUCACCGAGG